rnacentral:misc_RNA from 1 species
GCAAACUUGGUCAUUUAGAGGAAGUAAAAGUCGUAACAAGGUCUCCGUUGGUGAACCAGCGGAGGGAUCAUUAAUGAGUUAAAAAAAACUCCAAAACCCUUUGUGAACCUUUACCGUCGUUGCCUCGGCGCGAGCUGCGGUUGCCCUGGAGCUGCCCUGUAGGUGGCUACCCUGGAGCCGGUUCACGGCCCGCCGAAGGAUUACUAAACUCUGUUUAUUAUCACUGUCAGCUUCUGAAUUCUUAACUGAAAUACGUUAAAACUUUCAACAACGGAUCUCUUGGUUCUGGCAUCGAUGAAGAACGCAGC